rnacentral:lncRNA from 1 species
GGCGGGUGCCAUGCGCCUGGAGCUUCAUAGUCUCAGCUCCCGCCCACCGCACCCGCCCGCCUCCGCGGUCACGCCCCAGACCUCCGACACCUGUCAAGCAGAUGGCAGCACAGAUGAAAAAAUGCCAGAAAACCUCAGAGCAGACUGGCCUCAACCACAGCAAACAGCUCUCAACAGCCUGCCCCCAGCUCACCCUUCCUUUUCAUAAAAAAAUAAACACAGAACCUGAGAUUAAGAGCAAUUUCGGUAGGAUGAGAUCCCUGGGCACAGCACCUGCAGGAAGGAGAGAGGACUGAAAUGGAAGAUAACUCCAAGCUUUGUCUUGAGGAAUUUUUAAACCUCCAUCCAUCUCAAUUUUGUUAUUUGUGAAAUGGGGUCUUAAUAACUAUUUAAUAGGAGAAUUAUAAGAUUGCAUCGGAUGUGUGAAAGUGCUUUAUGUUUAAAGCAGUAUAUGCCGCUACAGAUUUUGAAAAUUCAUUUUUAUAUUUCCUUUGCUUUUUUUUUUUUUUCCUUUGCUUUUUAACCUAGU